rnacentral:ncRNA from 1 species
AGGUGGGGAGUUGUCACUUGUCAGAUGGUGAAACAGGCGUCCUGAGGGAAGUUCAGGGAGGACAGAAAGCUCCCCGUGGAGCAGAAGGGCAAAAGUUCACUUGAUCUCGAUCGUCCGUGUGAAUACAGACCGUAAAAAUUGGGGUCUCGUGAUCCUUUUGACAUGUUAUGUUUCAUAACCUUCAUACCUUCACUGUUAGGUUUUCGUACCAAGUCAGACAGGUUAGAGAUCGGCUUGAAAAAAAUCCGAACCUAUCAUUUAAAUCCUCAAGAAGACGUUCAGGGUGACGUAGCAGGCUCCCUGCUCCAACAUGAG